GUCCUCCGGCUGGCGCAGCAGCAGGAAGAGCAGGAAGUCGGAGAUGAGCGCGUGGGCUUCGGGGUGCUGCCGCAGAUAGCUGGCGUGGCCGAGCCGGAGCUCCUCCUGGCAGGGGACAGAGCCCGAGCCUCAGCCGGACGGGACCCCCGCGCCCCAGGAGCCCCCAGCCGCUCGCUCCAAGGAGAGCUAAGGGGCGCUGGAGCCUUCUAGCCCCUACGGGUGUGCAUUUCAAUCAGCACACUGGGUCCAGCCCCCUGCAUCCUGGAAGGCCCAGGUUUCCCCACUCCCCUUAACUCUCCCUGCCUGCACAAGGCCUGGGCUUCACUCACCCUCUUCCCUCAAGAUGGGCAUCUUGGUGAUGAUGCAGCACCCUGGGGAGCCCACCUGUAUUCUCUUGGCCAGGUGCCUGGAGUGCAACACAACAUGUGAGAGUGAGAAUCUUCCCAGACCGCCUGCUAUGGACUGAAUUGUCUCUCUAACCCCCAGUGUGGUGGUAUUUGGAGAAAGGCCAUGUGAGGACACAUUGAGAAGGCACUUGUCUGCAAGCUAGGAAGACAGCCCUCACCAGAAACCAACCCUGAUGGCACCAUGAUCUUGGACUUCCUGCCUUCCAGCAAAUAUAUUUCUCUUGAAGCCA
rnacentral:lncRNA from 10 species